AUAGCGCACAGGAAGUGUUCGAUCGAAUGGCCAUGAGGUAAACAAUGUGUCCUUUGGUUUCUACGUUUAUGCCAAGAAUCGCAGGUUAUUUGGGCUGUGUUCCUAAUCCUGUUUCCAGUACUAGCAAUUCCUCUUUGAUAAUUAUGUACUCACCAUGAUGCAUGUAUUUAUGUCAUGAAUGGUGAACGUGAGGAUGUCUGAAACAAACUGGUCAUUGUCCUCCCGUGGGGUCAACUGCCAUUGUAUGAAAAAUAUCUUUUUGCUACUCACUAUUGAUGCAGGUAUCUUUACGUCAAAACGAUUUAGAUAUAUCUUGAUUCCUGUGUGCUGGAAAAUGAACAUAAACAAAAUAUCUAGGGGAUCAGAGUUCUACCCUGGUAUUCUCAAUUGAGAAAUUAUAGCGCUCAGUACGUUUGUUGUCGAUCAUCUGGUAUCCUCUAAACAUGCAACACAAUUGUGAAAUUAGAACCACCUAGACUAAGAGGACCAUCAUUUUGAGGACAAAAUAAAACAAAGGCACUACAUUUUAGUAACCUGUCAAUAAGAAAGAAAAGUUGUAUGAACCGCGGAGGAUCAGGAUUCUGGCUUGUUUUUUCUGUUUUUUAUAAAGAGAGUGCUUUUCAUUGAAUGUUGGGAGAAAAAUGGAGAAAAAUGUCUUUUUAUGCCACAAUGAUGUGUCUUUUCUUCCCUCUUAUUUCUGCAGGCAUUUCCACAAUGAUGUGUCUUUUUAUGCCACAAUGAUGUGUCUUUAGCUGUAGAGUCAUUUCUGCAGGCAUACUGAUUUUAUGGCUUUUCUUUUUGCACAUUAUUUAUUUCUAUAAUACCAUUCUUGUGUCAUUUUGUGAACUUUAGUAAUCAUUCACCAACAGACCGAGAAGGAAGAAAUUGCAGCCCUCUCUCAAAAUAUGUUCGUACUCUACACUAGAGUUCACACGACAGGAUGGAUGCUCUGGACGAGACCAGGUUAGUUCCAUCCUAUCAUCUAAGUUCAUAUCACAAACAAAAAUGCUCUACACCUCUACUAAGUUCAUGUAUAGCAACACCCUCUAUAUUUUAGUUGUUUGUACAAACCACAAGGACAUAUGUAUCAUGAUUAUCUUGUACGUUAUAGUUAUAGGAAACUCCCAAGUUUUGAUCUACUGUCUGAAGAAGAGUAUGGAGGUAAGACAGUGCUGCAUUCUCCAUUUUUAAAUUUACUAAUCCUACAUUCUCCUUAUUUUUUUUAAUCUUUCAAAAUCAGAACAUUGACAAGAAUUAUGUAGUCACCUUAAUUUUUGAAUACUAUUAUAUGCACAUAUAGCUCAGAUCAACUGCAGGUAUACGGCAUAUAGAUAACUAUUGCUGAAACUAUGUACUUAUUUAUCUAAUUUCAUUCAAACAUCCUUUUUGUCAGAUAUCCUUUGUCGCUGCAGCCCCACAUUUUCCCAGAUAAACAUAUAUUGCUUAAAUUAAGUGGACAACUUCUUACUAGAUACCACAUAGAAAACAACAGACAGGGGAGUCUUCUUUCAAUAAACCUGAUUUUUUUAAAUCUAGACAGUAUUUAGAUUGCAAGUAUGUACAAAGUACCCAUCUGUAUUUUUAUCUAUACUAAUCUGGAAGUGCUCAUUUGGUGGCACCAUGUUAGCAUUUCCUCUGUUUUUGUGCACACAAACAUGUACAAGUAUAUCUACACUCAUGUCAUCUACAUUAUUUUCAGACAAAGUUUAUCAGACCCUUAUUAGUCGCGCACAGGGGCUAACAAGGAGGUGAGCACUGAGCAUAGUUUGUAUUCAGACUGAAAUUGGUUCCAUAAUGUAAUCAUGUGUCGAGGUUGACGUGGGUUCACGAGCUUCAACUUCAAAUAUAUGCUUAUUGAUCUCCUAGAUGAAAUUGCACACUUGGUAGAUUGAGUGAUAACAUGACCUAUUAUGCCUUGCUAUUCUUGAGUGUUUUUUGGAUUGAACUAUAAAAAAAUAUCAUUGUUCAGUUGUUUUUAUGUGCAUUCCUAAGAUAAGCUCGUAGCGUUAUAUAGUAUUAUUAUUUUUGUAGAUAGAUUUGUUUCAUUAACUAUUAUAUGUUGACCAGGGAGCUUGGUUCUGUCCAAUAGAUAUGCAUGAACCUAGAGCUAACUCUAAUCUUUAUAUCUUUGACUAAUUUGGCUACAGUUUGCUUCUUUCAGAGUGGUUAAUAGUGUGGUCUGGAGGAUGUCUCAGUGAAGUGAAAAGCCUCGGUAAUGUUUAGGGGUAGCUACAGCUCUUUUUGUUAGCUUGAUGAAUAUUCAAGAUGUUGAAAGGGCUAUGCUAUUUGUCAUUUUGGACAUAUGACUUAGAUGUAGCGUGAUGUAUAUUGCUACCUGGAUCUAUGAGUUUGACAAUAUAAUUUUUGCAACCUGGGAUUUUGUCAAGAUUGUGUAGUUGUUGAGUGAGUGGGCUGAAAAACAACUGUGGGCUCUAGCAGGCCAAAUUUAUUUUGUGA
rnacentral:lncRNA from 1 species